rnacentral:rRNA from 1 species
AACGAACGCUGGCGGCAUGCCUAACACAUGCAAGUCGAACGAGACCUUCGGGUCUAGUGGCGUACGGGUGCGUAACGCGUGGGAACCUGCCCUUAGGUUCGGAAUAACUCCCCGAAAGGGGUGCUAAUACCGGAUAAUGUCUUCGGACCAAAGAUUUAUCGCCUUUGGAUGGGCCCGCGUUGGAUUAGCUAGUUGGUAGGGUAAAAGCCUACCAAGGCGACGAUCCAUAGCUGGUCUGAGAGGAGGAUCAGCCACACUGGGACUGAGACACGGCCCAGACUCCUACGGGAGGCAGCAGUAGGGAAUAUUGGACAAGGAGCGAAAGCGUGACCCAGCAACGCCGCGUGAGUGAUGAAGGCCUUAGGGUUGUAAAGCUCUUUUACAAGGGAUGAUAAUGACAGUACCGGGAGAAUAAGCGCCGGCUAACUCCGUG